CGCACGGAUGCGUAACGCGUAUGCAACCUACCAUCAACAGGGGGAUAACACUGAGAAAUUGGUACUAAUACCCCAUAAUAUCUCAUGCGGCAUCGCAUGGGGUUGAAAACUCCGGUGGUUGAUGAUGGGCAUGCGUUGUAUUAGCUGGUUGGUGAGGUAACGGCUCACCAAGGCGACGAUACAUAGGGGGACUGAGAGGUUAACCCCCCACAUUGGUACUGAGACACGGACCAAACUCCUACGGAAGGCAGCAG
rnacentral:rRNA from 1 species